rnacentral:lncRNA from 10 species
GAAACCAGUCACUCGUCCAGCAUAUAUUUAUUGAGUGUUUAUUAUGUGCCGGAUGCUGGAGUGACAAAAAAAUGAACAAGAUGUAGAUCCGGCCUUCAAGUGUAGCUGGUGAUUUUCCACAAAACCCUCUAUUAUUGUAUCUUAACAUCCAGGAGUCAGCCAGGAGUUACACUGAUCAUAAAUCGAUAACCUCAUUUCAAAGCUCAAACACAGAGAUGGCAAAUAAAGCCCUGGGCAGCACUGACUGAAGCAACAGAUGACUCAUUAAUAGCAGGAGGCAAUGAAUAACUUUGCCACUGAGAGUGAAAGAAAAUUCCCCCUUUGCACAAUGCCUUUCACUUAAAUAGCAUUUGGAUUUCUUAAAAUCCACAAAGUUUAUAUUAGAGCGUCAUCCAUUAAUGCUUUGGCUAGGAGGGGGUCUAUCGCCCUGGUUGGAGUGCAGCAGUGUAAUCAUAGCUCACUGCUGCCAUGAACUUCUGGGCUCAAGCGAUCCUCCCACCUCAGCCUCCCUGUGUGCUGGGAUUAAAAGUGUGAGCCACCGUGCCUCAUCGUAAGGGUCUUAAAAGAAACCCUAUUUCAUACUUUCUUGAUGCACUUGAUAUGGAUUAUAUAAAUCUAUGGACAAAAAUGACAUCAGUACAAUGGAAUAUUGGAGUUUUCUACCAUAAUCUCUGCAUAGUGCACUGAUUUUGACAAUCACCUAUGGAUGAAAAUACAUUUGCCAGAGUCUAGGAGUUAAAUGGAAAAGUUAACAGCACACCGUUGGAGAAAAAUAUCUGGGAGUAGAUGCAUUCAAGGGAGUAAGAAGAACAAUUACCUGCAUCACCUCACCCCCAGGGUCCACUUCUUAGUGCCAAGAUAGACUCCCUUCAGCAGGCAAUUUCUCCCAUGGGGAAAAGGAGAGUAUAAUGAGUGAGUAUCCAGCUUUUCCAGCUGUGUGAGGCACAUCCCAAGAAGCCCAUCUUUCUUUCACUCAACUCAGAAUAUUGAGGGUAUUAGCAUGGCUAAGUGGCUGGGACAGGGCAGUAGCAGGAAAGAAAGGAGAGGACUCACAGCAACCAGGACUUGAAACUCAGUACAGGGUACAUAUCCUUUGAAGCAUUUCACAGAGCCCAUCAGGAGGCCCACCCAUGAACCACUUGGGACACCAUAUCUGUAGCAUCUCCCUGCAACUGGCCCAUAGGAGCCCCCGAUGUUUUGUGCAUAUUCCCCUUCCCUUUCUCCUAUAGUCAGUUGCCUGCACAUGCACUCCAGAUGGUGAGUGUGAGCAUUUACCUACAGCUUUUGAGUACAUGCAGUCAGCAGGCUCAACUUUGAAGGAUUGGGAGGAAUACAAAAUUGAGCAUUUCAGGGCACUGUCCUAGAGGAAACAAACAGAAAGCUUUCAGGACCCAGUUUGGUUUUGUGGAUUUAAGAGAAGACACACAAUCAUCAGAAUUUCUUCUCCACCCAUCCAAGAAGUGUGGAUUGGGUGAAUCCAUAGAAAAGAUCUGAGAGAGCCUCAGAUUCCCUAUAGGCUCACUGUUGAAGAUAUUUCUCUCAAAUCCAGUCAGUAAAGACUAGAGAAAGUGACUCUUUCUUCAAAUGUGAAGACAGCAGUGCAAGACUUUGAGGAACAUGAAAAAUCAAGGACACCUAGUACCACCAAAGGAACAUAAUUUUCUGGUACCCAACCACAAAGAAAUGGAGAUACACAAAUUGUCUGACAAAGAAUUCACAACAAUUGUUUUAAGGAAGUCAGUAAGCUACAAGAGAACACAGAGAACUUAAUGAUAUUAAGAAAGCGACACAUGAACAAAAUAAGAUGUUCAACAAAAAGAUAGAAAUUAUUAAAAACAACCAUGAUUUUCGAGCUGAGAAUACAAUGAAUGAAAUGGAAAACACAAUAGAGUUUCAAUAGCAGACUUGAUCAAGCAGAAGAAAGGGUCUGUCAACUCAAAUACUAGUCAUUUGAAAUUAUUCAGUAAAAGAAAUAAAAAGGAAUGAAAAAUGCUUAUGCGAUUGAUGCAACACCAUGAAGAGUAGUCAUAUAUGCACUAUGGGAGUCUCAGAAAAAGAAAGAGAUAAAGGGGAAGAAAACUAACUUAAAGAACUAGAUCAGUCUCUCCUUAUCUGUAGUUUUGCUUUCCUUGGUUUCAGGUACAGUACAAUGAUAUGUUUUAAGAGACAGACAAUGAAAGAGAACAUGCAAAUAUUGACAUAAUUUUUAUUACAGUAUAUUGUCAUAGUUUUUCUAUUUUGUUAUUAGUUGUUAUUCUCUUACUGUGCCUAAUUUAUACAUUAAACUUUAUCAUAGGAAUAGUGGUGGUGGCCUGUCUGGAGUGGCCACUGCCAGGAUGCCAGCUGCAGCAGGGGAGGUGUAGCUGGGGCUGUGCACUCCGCAGAGCUGGGGGGGGCCAGGAACAGGUGAUCCUAGUGGGAGCCCUAUAUGCUACUGAGUUAGUGGGGUGGGAGCCUGUGCUCCCAGGCAUAGCUGCAGCUGCCCAGCCAUGGCUCCAGCCCUAGGCAUACCUGUGCUCUCAGGGGCCCUGGAAGUCCCCUGCCCUUACAGGCUUGGAAGUGCCUGCUCCCAUUCCCUGGCCUCUUUCCACUGCUGGCACCUGCUCUGUGGCAGAGCAAAGUUGUGGAUGUGUUGUGAUAGCUGAGCCUGGGAGCUGUUGUGACGUGGUCAGGUGUGUGUGUUCAGGGCAGUUCUGAUACACCAGACUCCCCACUGCCUUUGCCCCCUCUGGAAACUGCUUCUGAGGCUGAAACUUUGGAUAUUAAUGAGCAAGGAUGGUGGGGGAGGCCAGGACGGCUGAGGGCAGCUAGGUGUGGGCCUGUGGACACCCCUUAGUGCGGACAGUCUGGGUGCUGUGGAUGGCAUGUUGAUGGCAGCGAGAGGCAGACAUGUUCCUAGGUGGGAACGGGUGGGUCCCUGGUGAAACCUCACCUUCAAGCCAGGGACAGCUUGAAGCAUGGGGGCCUGGCUGCCAGUUCCGGUUGCAGUCUGUGACCUGGAGUGAAAACUUCAUUGAUGUCUUUCAGCCAAUUGGAUGGUGCUUUUUCCAGACCCACAAAUGGCUGCCCAUGGACCAAGCAGUAUGUACUUCCUCCAUUCUGAGCCCAUGAAAACCCCAGACUCAGUCAGACUCUGACACUCAUCAGGAUGACAAGCCUGCAAAUAGGAUCUACCCAUUUUGGGUAUGCACUCCACUGAGAGCUAUUCUGUCACUCAAUAAAGCUCCUUUCUGCCUUGCUCACCCUCCAGUUAUUCACAUAACCUCAUUCUUCCUGGAUGUGGGACAAGAACUCAGGACCUGCUGAAUGGUGGGAGGGAAAGAAGCUGUAACAUGUUCCUGGCCAGCUCACCAAGCUGCAGGUGGUGACAUACUCCUGGACUAUGGGAGUGAAGAGUAGUGACCCUUCUGGGGGCCCAGACCUUGAGAUUCUCCGAGCCAGAGCUGCAGUAACACUAUAGCUCUCCUGCCCUCUGCUGGUGCUGGGUGGCCCCCCAAUGCAACAGGACGCAGCAGCAGGCCUGGGCCAGCCCAGGAGCUGGGAGCCUGAGUGGGGUGGUGGAACUGAAAGGGCUAUAACACAAACCAACCAAAACAUGCCCCACUCACUUGCUGCACUGUGGGUGAGGAGAAGGAGAAAAGAGCUGCAGCCCUUCUAGGAAGCCAGACUUUGGGGCUCCCUGAACUAGGGCUGUGACAUGCUGUAACACCUUCUUUAGGAUUCUGCACUUCCUGGCCUCUCUGAGAUUUUGGAUGCCACCGUGUUCCCUUUGUCCAGAUGCUGGUGUCCGCAGCAGAAGCCACUUGUGAUAUAUCUGGUCCAGCUGCAGCUUCACAUGGAUGAGGUGCCUGUGCCGGUGCCUGUGCCAGUGCCUGGAGCUGCCCGCCCCACCACAGCAGCUAGCAUGCCUGGCUGUGUGCAGUGCCAGAUCCCACACUUGCUCACUCACACACACCUCACCGCUCCAUGCCUGGCUUGCCCUUGGAAGGAGUACGAUCCAGGCCGGUAGCAUGAGCCAAGUGCAGCCUGCCAGCCUGAGUGGACAGAACAAGCCCAGGGGGCAUGAACAAAACUCAAGCAGAAGCACUGCUGUCCACAGAGGUUUCUGGCUGGCAAAGCAACACCCUAAGGAUCCUAUGACAAUAGGUAUAUAUGUAUAGGCAGAAACAUAGUAUAUAUUGGUUUUAGUACUAUCCAUGGUUUCAGGCAGCCACCAGGGGCUUGGAAUGUGUCCCUGUAGAUAAGGGAGGAGGAUUUUAAUAGCUGAAAACUUCUCCAAUCUUGGGGAAGAUAGGGGCAUUUGGGUACAUGAGGCUUAAAUGUGCCCAAAUAGGUUUGACUUAAAGAGGACUUCACUGAGACACAUUAUAAUCAAAUUGUCAAACAUCAAAGAUAAUUUUGAAAGCAGUAAGAGAAAAGAAACUCAUCACAUACAAAGAAACCCCAUUAGACUAUCAGAUUUCUAAGCAUGAAUCUUGCAGGCCAGGAGAGAGCGAGAUGACAUAUUUCAAGUGCUGAAAGAAGAAAGAAUUGUCAACCAAGAAUACUUUACCUUGCAAAACUAUCUUCCAGAAAUGAAGGAGAGAUAAAGACUUUGCCAGAUAAAGAAAAUAUGAGGGAUUUUAUCACCACUACAUAUGCCUUAUAAAAAAUGUUAGAGGGAGUUCUUCAAAUGGAAAAGUAAGGAUUCUAAUUAGUAACAUGAAAACAUAUGAAAGUGCAAAACUCACUGGUAAAGGUAGCAUAUAUUGUCAAGUUCAGAAUACUCUAAUGCUGUAAUGGUGGUGUAUAAACCACUUUUACUCUAGGAUAGAGGUGAAAAGACAAAAUUAUUAAAAAUAAUCACAAUAUGCUGGUGCGGUGGCUCACACCUGUAAUCCCAACACUUUGGGAGGCUGAGGCAGGCAAAUCAUGAGGUCAGAAGUUUGAGACCAGUCUGGCCAACAUAAUGAAACCCCAUCUCUAUUAAAAAUACAAAAAAUUAGCUGGAUGUGGUGGUGUGUGGCUGUAAUCCCAGCUACUUGGGAGGCUGAGGCAGGAGAAUGGCAUGAACCUGGGAGGCGGAGGUUGCGGUGAACUAAGAUCACCCCAUUGCACUCCAGCCUGGGCAACAGUGCAAGACUCCAUCUCAAAAAAAAAUUCACUAUAAUAAUUCGUUAAUGAAUAUACAAUAUUAAAAAAGUAAAUUAUGAUAUCCAAAACUUAAAAUGUGGAAUAGGGGAGUAAACAUGUAAAGUAUAUGCAAUCAAAGUUGAAAUCAGUUUAAAAUAGACUGUUAUAAAUAUAAGAUAUUUUCUGUAAGCCCCAUGGUAGCCACAAAGUAAAAACUUUAGUAGAUACAGAAUAAUUAAAGAUAAAGAUAAUAAAUUAAAGCAUGCCACUGCAGAAAAUCAUGAAAUUACAAAGGAAGAGCAAGAGAGGAAAAAAGGAACAAAAUAACUACAGAAGAGAAAACAAUUACCAAAGUGGCAAUAAUAAAUCCUAACGUAUCAAUAAUUACUUUAUAAAUGAACUAAAUUCUGUAAUCAAAAGACCUACAAUGGCAAAAUGGAUAAAAACAAACAAGUAAGAUUCAAUAAUAUGAUGUCUACAAGAGACUUGUUUUAGCUUUGAGGACACACAUAGGCUAAAAGUGAAGAGAUGGAAAAAAUAUAUUCCAUGCAAAUGGAAACUAAAAAAGAGCAGGAUGAGUAUCUGCUAUUUAUAUAACAUAAAAUAGAUUUUAAGUCAAAAACUGUGCAAAGAGACAAAGAUAUUUAUAAUAUAAUACAUAAUAUCUCUAUAAGCUUAUAAUCAUAUAUAAUGUAUAUUAUGUUAUAUAAUGUAUAUCCUUAUAUCUAAUAUAUAUCCUUAUAUCUUUAUAUUUAUUAUUAUAUAUGCCAUAUAUAACUGUAAAUAUAUGAUAUAUAUAAUUAUAAAUAUCUUUGUCUCUUUUUGCAGUUCGACUUAAAGUCUAUUUUAUCUUAUGUAAAUAACGGAUGUGUUUAUCUUAUUAUAUAUUUAUAUAAUAAGAAAGGGGUUAAUUCAUGAAAAGGAUAUAACAAUUGUAAAUAUAUAGGCAUCCAACAUCACAGCACCUAAAUAUAUCAAUCAAAUAUAAACUAGUCUGAAGGGAUAAAUAGAUAAUACAAUAAUAGUAUUUCAAGAUAAUAUGCAUGGUAGACCACAUAUAAUCUAUUGAAAUUGUAAAAAAUAAAGAAAAACACAAGAGGACUUCCUCAUAGUUACACAUUGGUGAAAAGAAAGUGUUCUAGUUACCACUCUUGUACAUUUGGUGGAUAUUCUCAAUGUCCUGCACUAUGCUAGGUCUUAAAGAAGUAUAAGACUUGCACAUGUAUCUUGAAAGAGUAGCUCAUUGCCCAGCAUAGAAAGAAAGAGGAGUAGAAAAUUUCAGGCAUGGAUAAAGGUGCAGAGGUGCAAAUAUAUAUACACUACUCAAUAGUAGGUAAGGGAGUAAUGGCAACUAACGUUAAGGAACAUUGUCUACCGUAUUGUGAAGGGUGACAAAGGUCAUGCGUACUAAUAUGAUGAUUAACUGUCUAUAGCAAGGCUAUGAGUAAAAUUUAAAUUAUAUGCAGCCUAGGUAUUGAAAUUUGACAACCAAUAUAAAUGAAUUCAUAUGUUUAUGAAACAUUCUUUAUUUCUUUUUAUCAAUGACCUAGUAGAUUCAGAAUCAAUUUUUCAGUGCUUUUCAAGAUAAUUUUGAUACGAUUGGAAAUAAAUAGUUCUAAAUAUUAAAAGAAAACCUGAAUUUUUGCAAUGUCCUUUCUAAAUUUAUAAACACAAAAUUUUCAUACUGCAGAGAUACUUGGGAAAAAAAAUAUUUGUUGUUUAUAUAUACUCACCCAGAAUCUACACAAUUACAAAUUUCCUUAAGUUUCUGACAGCAAAAAAGAACAUGAAUAACUAAAUACAGAGAAUCAUAAUUGGAACAUAUUCAAGAGGUGGAGAAUCUAUUUAAAACCGACAACUCAACAGAUGUAGUCUAGUCAAUGGUUAUAUUUGCAUAAGCAUGAAAGCCAAACAAACAUGUCUGAAAUCUCAUUGGUAAAACACUGUAUGAUUUAAAAAAUUUUGGGGGGGUUGUCAGAACUCCUUUUUAGAUUUAUUGCAUCCCCUCAACAGAAGAACCGACUGCCGAGAAAUUCAAAACACAUCCGUGAAAGCAGAAAAUUAUAAUGUGACAAGUGAAGAAUUGAAAUGGAUUCACCCUAAAAGCAGAGCCAAAUAUCAGCCAUUGUCAUGGGCCCCUAGGAGGACUGAGUCUGGUGAUGCACGAAUACCAGAAUGCAAGUGUGGUGCAAUGACAGCAAUAACACAUGUGUGCACCUUGAAGCCAGAGGGAUGGAAACCCCAGCCAAUGUCUCUUUCUCUUUUCAGCCAUGUAAAUUCCAAUCUUGAUCAAUAAGCAAUCCAGGUGUCAAUGAAAGUGGAAGGAAUACAUAUUCCUCCUCCCACAAAUCUUAAACAUUAAUAGCAGCAGGAUUCUCCUUUCACAGAAAAGCAUGAUUUUAAGGUUUUGGUCCCCACUGAACACAAAUUCCCAAGAUACAAAUAAAAGUACUUUGAUUUAUAGAUUAAUCCAGACAUUUUUAUGUUCUGUAGGCCUGACAUAUGCUUGACAGAAACCCCACAAGGUCAGAAAGUCCUGUUGUCUAAGAAAGAAUUUCUCUUCUGCUUUCUUGCUCAUUUUGGCCUGAGAGGAAGGUGAUACUACAGUUAGUUGUGGUCUUAAUAAAGAGCAUUGAAGUCAGAAUUCAUAAAUUUAGGCUUUUUUCUUUCUCAGGAAUUAUUGAAAAGAAUGGCUUACAAUUUUUUAAAAUUUAUUUUGGGAGAGAUAAUCAUAUUAUUUAGGGAGAGAGAUAGUUAUAUUAUUUUUCUGAAUCUCUCAAGCUUCACAUAACAGUGAAAGAUUCAUGAACCACUGAUUUAAAAAAGGUACAAAAGCAACAGUUUUUAAACCACCUGCUAUAUACUCAUUUGACAAUAUUAAGGGGCAAUGCUUCUGGUGUUUUCAAAGAAAUUGGAGUAGUGGGCAGGAGAGCUAUAAUUAAGGAGGAGCACUGCACUGGGAUUGGACCAAGGUUUUAUAUUAAGAACAACAUUCUGUUUUAUCCUAACUAGUGUAACUUAUUCAUUCCACAAACAUGUAUUGAAUAACUUCUGAAAAUAAGGCUCUUUUUGCCUUCAAUAAGAUCUCUGCAUGUAAAAGAAAAAUACUAGUACUAGUUAUACAAAAACUUUGAAAUAAUAUAUCAGCAGGAGGCAAAAUCAAAACAAAAUAAGGCCUGGUGUGGUGGCUCAUGCACUUUGGGAGACUGAGGUGGGAGAAUUGCCUUAGACCAGGAGUUUGAAACCAGCCUGGGCAACAUAGAGACCUUGUCUCUACAAAAAAUAAAUACACUAGCAGGGUGUGGUGGUGGAUGCCUGUAGUCCUAGCUACUUGGAAGGCUGAGGUGGGAGGAUCACUUGAGCCCAGAAGGUAGAGGCUGCAGUGAACUAUGAUCAUGCCUUUGCACUCAAGCCUGGGCAACAGAGCAAAACCCUAUCUUUAAGCAAACAAACAAACCAACAAAACAACAGGACCCCUGUCGUAUCUCUCCCCAUGAAUAAUAUAACAGGCAAUUUCUUGAAUAUUAAAACUGGUAUUCCUUAUAGAUUAUUACAGUGGCCUCACUUUAAACAGAAGAACCUGAAGCCCAAAAAGGUUUGCUUUCCAUAUGCUGGAUGAUGUGUGUGGAUUUUCAGUGUGUGUUUCAGAGUCUUAAAAGCUCAUGCUAGCUUGCUUAACAUACCUGCCAUAACUCAUGAUAUAGAACCCUAUGGAGAACUGUGUUGCAACAUGGAUGCAGUGCCUAUACUAAGGCACAUUGCCAAGCUGAAGACUGUCAGAGAGCAUCACUAACGGAGGGCCACUGUCAUAAGGACGCCUGGAAGAGUGAAGAAAGGCCUGAUUGAUCACAAGGUCCUAUCAAAUGUCAAAGCUGGCCCUGGCUGACCUCCCAUCUAUUCAGAGCUGCUUUGAUUUAAUCUCCAAACUGGCUGCUUCUCCAGGCUAGAAGAGAAUUGAAAAUUUCAAGAAGGCAAAGGUGAUGGAAGUGUCUUCAUGAGACCCUUGGGUAACAUAAAUUGGCAAAGAAUUGGAUGAUCUGGGUUCUAAGAUCUGGCCUUAAAACUAGCCAUCUAUUGACUGAGUUCCCAUCAUUUCUACCGCUUUCAUCAGUUCUUGUGCAGCAGAAUGAGGUCCCAGCAGGGUUUUCUCUCAUUGCUGCCUCCACCCUCUGCCUU